rnacentral:rRNA from 1 species
GCAAGUCGCACGGGGCAAGAUUGUAGUAAUACCGUCUUGUUCAGUGGCGCAUGGGUGCGUAACACGUGAGUUACAUGCCCUAUAGAGGGGGAUAGCCCAGGGAAACUUGGAUUAAUACCCCAUAGUCUCGCAAGAGUAAAGGUGGCCAGCAAUGGCUGUCGCUAUAGGAUUGGCUCGCGGCCUAUCAGCUAGUUGGUGAGGUAACGGCUCACCAAGGCUACGACGGGUACCUGGUCUGAGAGGACGAUCAGGCACACUGGAACUGAGACACGGUCCAGACACCUACGGGUGGCAACAGUCGAGAAUCAUUCACAAUGGGGGCAACCCUGAUGGUGCAACGCCGCGUGGAGGAUGAAGGUCUUCGGAUUGUAAACUCCUGUCAUCUAGGAGCAAGACCUGGCGAUGAAUAGUCGACAGGGUUGAUAGUACUAGAAGAGGAAGGGACGGCUAACUUCGUGCCAGCAGCCGCGGUAAUACGAAGGUCCCGAGCAUUAUUCGGAAUCACUGGGCGUAAAGGGAGCGUAGGCGGCGUGGAAAGUCAGAUGUGAAAUCCCAGAGCUUAACUCUGGAACUGCAUCCGAUACUACCAUGCUUGAGUAUUGGAGGGGUAACUGGAAUUCUCGGUGUAGCAGUGAAAUGCGUAGAUAUCGAGAGGAACACUCGUGGCGAAAGCGAGUUACUGGACAAUUACUGACGCUGAGGCUCGAAGGCUAGGGGAGCAAAAGGGAUUAGAUACCCCUGUAGUCCUAGCAGUAAACGGUGCACGCUUGGUUUGAGGGGAAUCGACCCCCUUCGAGCCGGAGCUAACGCGUUAAGCGUGCCGCCUGGGAAGUACGGUCGCAAGACUAAAACUCAAAGAAAUUGACGGGGACCCGCACAAGCGGUGGAGUAUGUGGCUUAAUUCGAUGCAACGCGAAGAACCUUACCUAGGCUUGACAUGGAUUUCUAAGCACGUGAAAGCGUGUGACCCUUCGGGGGACUUCC